rnacentral:lncRNA from 1 species
GAGGAAGGUUGAGGCCCUACUGAGAUAAAAAAUGAUAAUCAAUAUGAUAAGGAAACGACAACAUGAAUAUAAUCUAUAGCGAGAAUCUAGCAAGAAAAUAAGUAAAAGCAUUAACAGAGAACCAACAGAAUUGAUAAAUAGUGGUACAAACCACAACCGAAUAUUUAUUAUCGGAGAUCUCCUGGUAUCCCGAGGAUCUCCUAGUAUCCUUAUCAUAUACACGAGGAAUCUCCUAGUAUCCCGAGGAUCUCCUGGUAUCCUCUAUUUUAUACACGAGGGAUCUCCUAAUAUCCCGAGGAUCUCCUGGCUUCCUCCAUUUUAUACAUGAGAGAUCUCCUAGUAUCCCAAGAAUCUCUAGUAUCCUCCAUUUAUGAUCAUAUUUGUGCCAGGGAUCACUUAGUAUCCCGCCCUCUCAGUCUUAGAGCAUAACACGUGCCGGGGGAGCUCACGGGAUGCCGUCUUGAAGUCCCAAAUUGUAAACACGCCAAAACAAUUCAAAUAUUGUAUAAUGCUAAGUAUGAACAAUUAAUAGGAUUUCUAGCCUAGCAUGCUUCACGGACUACAGAUAAUACCAUUUAGACAAGUAAGUAAGUAAGUCAACUAAACAUGCUUUUCUUAAGCCUACACAGGUUAAAUUGCAUCUAGAAUAGGAAAAUACGCAAGAAAAUACAGUUUAAAUAUUCUAAGUAAAAUGGAUUUUCAACAAUUAGCUCAAGUACAUGUUCUUCACCUCGCGUGCAAGGCAUUUAAAACAACAAGUAAUAUAUUCUAAGGGGAGAGGUCCCCCCACAAAGUUAGGCAAGCCACUUACCUCGAACCAGUACCAAAAUCAACUACGAACACGCCUUUUCCACGAGUAUUUUACUUUGAAUGGCCUAAAUCUAUUCAAUCCAGUUUCACAACGUAAAUAACAUCGCAAGUAACUAAUUCCACUAUUAAAAUUAAAGCUAAUGCUUGAAAAUAGGUAAAAUGACUAAAAUGCUCCUCUGCCUAACGUCUCGGAAUCGAAUAAUCUUUACAUUUUCAGAAACCUCGUACUCCCAUGAGUCUAACCAUAAAAAAAUAUCUCAAAUCGGAGGUCAAAUUCCCCCACAAAACCCCAAAACAAGGUCAAAGAAAAUUUUCCCAAAUUUCAUUAAAAAUCUGAUAUUAAAAGAUGAAUUCGAGAUUAUAUUAGUGGGCUUUAGUCAUCGAAGGGUAGAGAAUUGUUACCUAGUGAUUUCCUUUGAAAAACCUUUGAAAUUGCUCCCCAAUGCGAGCUCCAAAUGUUGAGUUUUGGUAAAAAUGGCUAACUCUCGGGAUUUGAAAUGUUAAAUACUGCCUAGGUGUUUCUUCAAUGCGAUCACAUGAAGAGGGAUGCGGUCGCGUAGAGUAAAAUUGUGGAGGUCCAGAGUUUGGUCUACGUGAAAGCAGGGCUGGGCCUCCGAUCGUAGAAGGGAAGGAACUGAACAUAUAUGAUCGCAAUAGAGGCUCUGCGAUCACAUGUAAGGAAUUUAGGCCCUAAGACACUAGCCCAGUCUGUUCUAUGCGAACGCAAGGUAUGGAUUACGAACGCGGAAGAGGGAAAACGGAAUAAUGCGAUCACGUGAGGGUCUUUUUUAUUGUAUUGAAGGAAAAAUGCCCCCUCCCCCCUCCCCCAAAUUGCACGACGCGAUUGCAUGGGGAUGGAUGCGAUCGCAGAGAAGAAGAUGUCUGCAACAGCUUAAGGGAAUUUUCUGCAACACUUCAAGUCCCAAAAAUGAUCCGUUGAGCAUCCAAAACACACCCGAGACCCGACGGACCCUAACCAAACCUACGGAGAUAUCCCAUAAAAUCAUUCAAACUUUUACCAAUCCUUAACCUACCUAAAACAAUGUUGGAAACUCAAAUUAAUCAAUGUUUGAACCUAAGAACUUCAAAUUUCAACCAAGCUCGCUUUCGAUCAAAAACCUAAACAAAACACAUCUGAUUGACCUGAAAUUUUGCACGCACGUCCAAAAUGACAUGAUGGUGCUACAAAAACUUCCAAAAUCCCAUUCUCAUCCUCGGAUAAAAAAUGCACUAUCAGAUAGGAAAUUUCAAGUUCCAACAUUCGGUAUUUCUAGCCUAAAUGAGCUACAGACAUCCAAAACACAUUCCGGACACGAUCCCAAUUCCGAAGUCAACUAACGGAUCUAACGGAACCAUCAGAUUUCCAUUUCAAAAUCGUAUUCAUACUAUUCUAAUUAUGGACCACUUUCCAAUACAUAAGCUCUCAUUUGGGGACUAAGUGUCCCAAAAUACUUUGAAUCCUAAUACCGAACAUCGUAGAAAACAAAAAUAGUAGAAAUAGACUUAAGAAAAUUAGUUAAUAGGAGAACGGGGAAUAAAUUCUAAAAAUGACUGGCCGGGUAAUUAGAGAGUGUGACGUCUCUUUUAUUAAGUGUGAAAGUACAUGAUGAUAGGGAAUGAGAGAGAGAUUAAGGGAAUCUUCCGGCAUUCCCUUAAAAUUAGAAAAUUGGCAUCUUUUAAAAAUAGAAAAAUGGACAACUGUCCAGUUUUCAGCACCUCUUUUUAACAAUUUUAGACAGCUAGUCCCUUUCUACAAACCUCCCAAACAAACACCUAAAAGUCCCUAUCUUUUCUUUUCAAUUAACCCCGCUUAAGUUUUUGUUCUUUACAAACAACCACCCUAAUUUUGACCUAACUUCUGAUUCUCAAUACCCUAAGUUUACAUGUUCCCUUAGCUCCCUCAAAUUUCAAUUAUGAACAAAAUAUUAGUCAACCAAACUAUUUAAUAGUUAAUUGAUAGAUUUAUGAAAUUACACUAAAUAGCAUAAUUAAACUUACUGAUUAUGCACCUAAUUAAAACGUGCAGGAAAAUUUUAAUUCGACCACAUUUAGGUAUCAAUCCGGUCAUAAUAGGAGAGCAAGCAAAAAUGAAUAACAAAAGAAGAAGAUAGUAAUCUUAAAUCAGUUAUUCAAACAAAAUCAAGAAAUUAACUAUUAAUCAAAACAUUCACACACAGAAUCAAACUAAAUUAAAUCCUAAUAUGCGGAAUAAAUAAUAAGAACAUAGUCUAGUACCCUUCUAAUCGGAUAAGGUGAAUUUCCUUCAAUAUUUAUGCUUUUCAACUCAUGAAGCAAUAGUAGAGAUAACAGAAAAUUAUCUAAGCAUAACAACAAAUAUCUUCGGACAAAAUUUGGGUGAACCAUCGAAUCCGAACACCUUUUAAACAGACAAAAAAUGACACUAAUCAAUUAUUCUCGCUGAGAAAAAUGAAUUAGCAUAAGUUUUGGUCAAAUCGAGUCUUGAAACUCAACCAAAAUGAAGGAGGAAAGAAAACUAGGGUCUUUUUUUUUUCUUUUUAAAUCGAAAAUUGGAGAAGUUUGGUGGUGGUUUUAUGAAAAUGGGUAUGGGAUUAGGGUUAAGGCGGAGUCAGAGAGUGUAGAGUGUGAGUUUGAGGUUGUUUGGACGGUGGUCACCCACGACAAGGGCUUACGAAUCCUGGGCCAGCUAGGAUUUGGUCGGUUGAGGGAGAUGCAGCGAAUGGGGGAAAUUCUUGGGGUUGAGAGGGGGUCCUUAGGACAAUUAUAUGGGAUNNNNNNNNNNNNNNNNNNNNNNNNNNNNNNNNNNNNNNNNNNNNNNNNNNNNNNNNNNNNNNNNNNNNNNNNNNNNNNNNNNNNNNNNNNNNNNNNNNNNNNNNNNNNNNNNNNNNNNNNNNNNNNNNNNNNNNNNNNNNNNNNNNNNNNNNNNNNNNNNNNNNNNNNNNNNNNNNNNNNNNNNNNNNNNNNNNNNNNNNNNNNNNNNNNNNNNNNNNNNNNNNNNNNNNNNNNNNNNNNNNNNNNNNNNNNNNNNNNNNNNNNNNNNNNNNNNNNNNNNNNNNNNNNNNNNNNNNNNNNNNNNNNNNNNNNNNNNNNNNNNNNNNNNNNNNNNNNNNNNNNNNNNNNNNNNNNNNNNNNNNNNNNNNNNNNNNNNNNNNNNNNNNNNNNNNNNNNNNNNNNNNNNNNNNNNNNNNNNNNNNNNNNNNNNNNNNNNNNNNNNNNNNNNNNNNNNNNNNNAUGGGGGGGGGGGGUUAGUUGAGAGCCGUUAGAUCAAAAGGGUUGAACAGUGAGGAUUAGGCGUUACUAACAUGGGAUCGUUUUGGUAAUUAGCGGUGCUGGGGAAGGCUCGACUGGGUAGGGGUUGGGCUGGGCGGAUUGGACGAUUUUAGGUCAAUUGGGCCACUAAAAAUGGUUGAGGCCCAGUUCGAAAUAAAACCAAGCUCUUUUUUUUCAUGAUCUGUAAAUCAUACAAAAUUAAUUAAAAACCUAAACCAAAUCCUAAAUCAAAUAUAAUAUGUAGAAUUAAAUUAAAUAUCUAUUUAUAAUAUUAGAAUAGUUAAAAAACUUAAAACUAAAGAUAGGAAAAUACUAAUUUUAAACCUAAAAAUGUGAAAAUGACCUUUUUAAUUUUUUUUUAAUUAUGCAUUUAAUAAAUAUCUUAAAUCAUAAAAAUGCAAAUAAAAACUUAAAUGAAAUGUAUGAAAUUUGAUAUUUUUGUGGUAAACAAACCAAUCAUCUAUGAGUUACAAGAUUCCUAUCUAUAAAUCUUCUGAAGCUUGAUCUUGAAUCUUCUACAGUACCGUUGUGUAUCUUGAAUUGUUCACUCGCAUUCUUGAGGUGAGUUUCUGCUACUUCUAACUUGAAUUGACCCUAUACAUCAAGCGGGUUCAUGCUAUUGAUUUGACUGGAAUUUAACUUUGAAAUGAAUACUGAAAUGACUUGAAACUCUUGAAAUAACUAUGAUAUGAGUUUCCUCGCUCUCCAGGACGGUGCCUGCUAACUGAUUUAACAACUUAUAAUAAAUUACCUCAUUCUCUAUGUGUGUGCCUGCUAACUAACUUAAAAACUUGAAAUGAAUUCUCUCGUUCUCCAGGUGGGCGCCUGCAACUAACUUAAAACUUAAAAAUUCUCCAUGUGGGCGCUUGCGACUGACUUAAAACUUGAAAUAAAUUCCAUCGUUCUCCAGGUGGGUGCCUUCUAAAGGGUUAAAAACUUGAAAUGGAUUCCCUCGUUCUCCAGGUGGGCUCCUGCAACUGACUUAAAACUUGAAAUAAAUUCCCUCCAUCUCCAGGUGGGAGCCUGGAACUGUGAUGACCCGAAAGUUCAUCUUGUGUAUUAGAACCCAAUUUUGUGUUUCGAGGAUUUCAAAACCUCAUUUUAUUCCUUCUCGGUUUGUAUGCACGGUCGAUGUGUGUAUCCGGAAAGCAUUGUAUGAAAAAUUGUGGAAAUAAUAAUUUUUUGCUUCAAAAGUUGAUUUUUGUUGACUUCGAUCAAUAUUCUGGGUAAGCGGACCCAGUCCCAUAUUUUGACUCUCCAAAAGGUCCGUAGUAAAAUAAUGGACCUGGGCAAAUGCCUGUAAUCGAAUUCCGAGAUCCCUAGCCUAGGAAAUGAAAAUUUGAUGAAAAUUGUUAAACAAAAAUUAUAAAAGUUUUAAGAACAUGGUUAAUAAUUGAUAUUGUUCAUACCAGGUCUGUAUUGUGGUUUCGGAUCCCGAUACAAUUCCAUUAUGAUAUUUAUAUCCUAUCUAUAAAAUCUGAUGAGAAGCGGGACUUAUCUGACGUGAUUCGGACUUUUGGUUGAUAAAAUAGUAGUUUUGAAACUAUCUUGAAAAUUUCAUGCAAUUUGGUGCUAAAUUCGUAGUUCUAGGUAUUAUUUUGGAAAUUUGAUCAUGCGAGCAAGUUUGUAUGAUGUUCUAAUACCUGUGUGCAUGUUUGGUUUGUAACCCUGAGGGUUCGGGUAAGUUUAAGAUAGGCAACAAAGUGAUUUUGACUUAAGAGAGAUUGUUGGUAUGCUUCAGGUUUGCAGACUUCACAUUUGCGAGGUCUGGCUAGCAAAUGCAAGACUCGCAUUUGCGAAGUUCAGGAGGGGACUUGGUAGUUAGCACUUGCAAAGAAUAGGUCGCAUUAGCGAAAGUCCAUGUUCACAUUUGUGACUGGGACUUCGCAUUUGCGAUGACAGCAGAAAUGUGAAGAGUUCGCAUUUGCGAUACUUUUCUCACAUUUGCGAGCUUAGCAAUUCGACAUCUUCAGCUGAUAAGUUGAGACUUAGACGGGAUUUUUCAUUCAUUCUUCCAUUUAUCAAAACUUCAACUUCAACAUGGAAUUUUUCAAAUGCUAAUCCUUCUCCAAAUCAUAGGUAAAUGAUUCAUAACUCAUUUCCUUCAAUCUUUUACUUCUUUUCACAAGAUUUCAUUCAAGAAUCUAGGGUUUUUCAUGGUGGAAUUGGGGAUUUUUGGGUAGAACUUAGGAAUUUCGAAACUUGGGGAUUUAGACCUCAAAUUGAGGUCGGAUUCUAAAACCAAUUGUGUAUCCGGGCUCGAGGGUGAAUGGGUAAUCGGGUUUUGGUCCGAAUUUCAUGUCUUAACCAAGCGAACCCUGGGCCAGUUUUUGACUUUUUGGGAAAAUAUUGGGAAACCUAUAAUUUAUGCAUUGGAAUUGAUUUCUUUAGCGAUAAUUGAUGUUAUUAAGUUAAUUACGACUAGAUACGAGUGGUGGGAGGUGGAAACUAGAGGAAAAGCAGUGAUUGAGGCUUGGGUUUGGACGUGCAAUCGAGGUAAGUGUCGUGGCUAACCUUAGCUUAAGGGAUUAGGUAUUGUUGUUUGCUUGCUAAGUGUUUGUUGUUCUGUACGACGUAUAGAUGUGGUGACGUUUAUUUAUACAUUGUUGUUGGGUCCUAGUAUACGAGUAAGUCUUAAUUCUUUUGAUUGUUGUAUUCUUUAUUCUUAUUGUUCAUUCUUAAACUGGUUAUUUUUCAUGUUGAAAAAUUCUUAUCAUAUUUACUGGAAUGGGAUAUUUGUUGAGCAUUGUUUUGAAGUUGACGUUGACAUUGGGAAACUAAAUAUUGAUAUGGGGUUUGUUAUUAAUAAUCCUAUUGCUCGGUUGUUAUUAUUUUGUUGUUUGGGUGAGGAAUAACGUAAAGCACAAAGAGUGAUAUUGUGCCAUUACAUAUUUAAUUUCAUGAGGGGAAGAAUGUAAAUCACGAAGGGUGAUGCCGUGCCAUUUGAUAUUUACUUUCAAGUGGAAGAGUGUAAAGCACGAAGGGUGAUGCCAUGCCAUUGCAUAUUUAUUAUCAUGUAAGGAAGAGUGUAAAGCACGAAGGGUGAUGCUGUGCCAUGUCAUAUUCAUUAUCAUUAUUAAUUUCAUUUGUUAUGGUGAGGACGUGAGUAAAGGCACAAAGGGUGAUGCCGUGCACUUGUUUUGCUGUGUUUCUUUACUGUUCUAUUUUCCUGAUCUCGUACUCCCCUCAGCAUGUUUUUACCCCUCCCGUUAAUACGCGUUUAAUUUAUAUUAUCUGUUAUUAUGAUGUAUAUUGCUUAACUGCAUAAGUUUAUAUAUGUGUCUUGUCCUAGCCUCGUCACUACUUCACUUUUGUUCUUCUUUGUCAUGCGAUUUGAUCUCUCAAUACUAAUUGAACUUUCUACUCUUGUCCUUUCGCAGUUGGCGGGAACAUAUACCCUUUCAUCAGCUAAUCAGCAGCCCGAGUUUCGAGUGGCAGCUCCUACGAGGGGCAGAGGCUGAGGCAGGGGCAGGGCUCAGCCUAGAACUCGGCAGCAACAGUAGUAGUGGAGCCUCAGGUGGAGUUUGAUGACGAGGUUCUGACCCAAGCUGUUCCAGCAGGGCCAGCUCAGGUUCCAUAGGGGUUCAUAGCCACCCCACUGCUUCAGGAUGCUUUGGUCCAUCUAGUGGGCUUUAUGGAGAGUGUUACUCAGGCUAGCACAUUCCUUGUAGAACCAGCUGUCUCUCGAGCUGGGGUAGGAGCAUAGACUCCCGCUACUCACACUCCAGAGUAGAUAGCUCCUGAAUUUCAAACUCUAGUAGCUCCGCCAGUUGGGAUAGUUCUGUCGGGUGUUACAAUACAGUCCGGUGAUGGAUCAGCUAGGUCUUCUGAUGCUUUGUUGAGGUAUUGCAUAACAUGGGGAUAGUGGAGACCAAUGGAGUCAACUUUGCUGCUUUUCGUCUGUCAGGUUCCGCCAAAAAAGGGUGGAGUCUUUUUUGUUUGACCAAACCAGCUGGGUUUCCUAGUUUGAAUUGGGACCAGUUCUCUCAGCUAUUUCUCGAGAAGUCACCUUCUUGUAUUUCUAAGAGAGGAUUAUCAUAGGCAAUUCGAGCAUCUCCAGUAGGGCAGCAUCUCUGUUACUCAGUAUGAGCCCGUUUUAUUGAUUUGGCUCUCCAUGCUCUUCUUAUACUUCCUAGAGAGAGAGAGAGAGAGAUAGAGGUUAAUUGAGGGACUCACUCAGCCUAUCUGAUUGUAGAUAGCUUAGGAGACAGUGAGCGAGAUUUCCUUCUAAGAUGCGACCAAUGUGGCUAGGCGAGUUGAGUUGGUGUUAGCUUAAGGGAGUGGUCAAGGUUCUGACAAGAGGCCACGUCACUCCCAUAGAUUCAGUAGGGCCUCAUCUGGAGGCCGUGGUGCUUUUGGUAGAGGCCAUCCUCCCAGGCCGUUUCAUUCAACACUUUAGACUUCUCACGAUGCUUCAGGUGGUCGUACUCCUCAUAUGUAGCAUCCCGAUCAACUAGCAUGUAGUCCACCACCAUCUCUUAUCAGUGCACCUCCGCUCCAGAGUUUUCAGGGUGGUUCCUCAGGCUUCCAGGGUCAGUUUCAGGGUCAUCAACCAUAAUAGCCGAGUCAUGUUAUACUUGUGGUGAUCCGAGGCACAUUGAUUGGUAUUGUUCCCGAGCAUCGAGCAAUUCUCAACCCCAGGGUUCUCGUGCCAUGAUGCCAACACCAGGUGUUCCACCCCCCCCCCCCCNNNNNNNNNNNNNNNNNNNNNNNNNNNNNNNNNNNNNNNNNNNNNNNNNNNNNNNNNNNNNNNNNNNNNNNNNNNNNNNNNNNNNNNNNNNNNNNNNNNNNNNNNNNNNNNNNNNNNNNNNNNNNNNNNNNNNNNNNNNNNNNNNNNNNNNNNNNNNNNNNNNNNNNNNNNNNNNNNNNNNNNNNNNNNNNNNNNNNNNNNNNNNNNNNNNNNNNNNNNNNNNNNNNNNNNNNNNNNNNNNNNNNNNNNNNNNNNNNNNNNNNNNNNNNNNNNNNNNNNNNNNNNNNNNNNNNNNNNNNNNNNNNNNNNNNNNNNNNNNNNNNNNNNNNNNNNNNNNNNNNNNNNNNNNNNNNNNNNNNNNNNNNNNNNNNNNNNNNNNNNNNNNNNNNNNNNNNNNNNNNNNNNNNNNNNNNNNNNNNNNCCCCCCUCAACAGCUAGAGGUAAGGGUCAGACAGCUAGAGGUGGAGGUCGAAGUAUUAGAGGUAGAUGUCGGACCGCUAGAAAUGGAGGCCAUCUAGCAGGAGGCCGUCCCAGGGAUGUAGUUCAGAGUGGUGGGGCCCAGCCCUGAUUUUAUGCUUUCCCAGCCAGGCCUGAGGUUGAAUUAUGUGAUGUGAUUAUCACAUGUACAGUUUCAGUUUACAGUAGGGAUGCCUCAGUAUUAUUUGAUCCUGGGUCUACUUAUUCAUAUGUCUUAUCCUAUUUUGUAUCAUAUUUGGUUGUGCCACGUGAUUCUUUGAGUGCGCAUGUGUAUGGUCCACACCUGUGAGGUAUUCUAUCGUAGAUCAUGUCCAUAGUUUGUGUUAUUGGGGGUCUUGAGACUCGUGUAGAUCUCCUACUUCUCGAUAUGGUUGAUUUCGAUGUCAUUUUAGAGAUGGAUUCGUUGUCACCUUAUCAUGCUAUAUUGGACUAUCACGCCAAGACCGUUACCUUAGCAUUCCGAGGUUUCCUCAAUUAUAGUAGAUAGGGACUCCUGGUUAUUCUACCAGCAGGGUUAUUUCUUAUAUGAAGUCUCAGCGUAUGGUCGAGAAGCGGUGUUUGGCUUAUUUAGCUUAUGUUCUUGAUUCCAGUGCGGAGGUUCCUUCCAUUGAUUUCGUACCAAUUGUUCAUGAGUUUCCAGAGGUAUUUCUUGCAAACCUACUAGGGAUGCCGCCCAAUAGUGAUAUUGACUUUUGCAUUGAUUAGGUUUCGGGAACUCAACCCAUUUCUAUUCUGCCAUACCACAUGGCCCUACUAGAGUUAAAAUAAUUGAAGGAAUAAUUGAAAGAUUUGCUUGAUAAGGGCUUUAUUAGACUUAGUGUCUUGCCUUGGGGUGUGCCGAUGUUGUUUGAAAAUAAUAAGGAUGGGUCGAUGAGGAUGUGCUUUAGACUAUCACCAGUUGAACAAAGUCACAAUCAAGAAUAAGUAUUCAUUGCUGAGGAUUGAUGACUUAUUUGAUCAGCUUCAGGAUGUCGGGAUGUUUUCAAAGAUUGAUUUGAGGCCUGGUUACUAUAAGUUGAGGAUUAGGGCAUCCGAUGUCCCUAAGACAUCUUUUCGGACUCGGUACAUGCAUUAUGAGUUUCUAGUGAUAUCAUUUAGGUUGACAAAUUCCUCAAAAACAUAUAUGGAUUUAAUGAUCCGGGUGUUCAAGCCUUAUCUGGAUUUCAUUGUGAUUGUUUUUAUUGAUGAUAUCUUGAUCUACUCUCGCAGCCGAGAGGAGCAUGAGCAACAUCUUCGGAUCGUUUUCAGAAUCUGAGAGCCAACCAGUUAUAUGUUAAGUUUUUGAAAUGUGAGUUUUGAUUGAGUUCAGUUGCUUUCUUGGGUCACGUUGUAUUAGCAGAGGGUAUUGAGGUGGAUCCUAAGAAGAUUGAGGCAGUCAAGGACUGGCCUAGACCUAUAUUACUAUAGAAAUUCGGAGUUUCUUGGGCUUGGUCAGUUAUUACCGUCGGUUUAUAGAAGGGUUUUCAUCUAUAUCGGGCCUGAUGACUAGGUUGACUUAGAAGGGUGCCCCGUUCAGAUGGUCGGACGAGUGCGAGGCAAGCUUUUAGAAGCUCAAGACAGCUUUGACUAUGUCAUCGGUGUUGGUAUUGCCCACAGGUUCAGGGCAUUAUACAGUAUAUUGUGACACAUCUCAUAUUGGUCUAGGAGCGGUAUUGAUGCAGGGUGGCAAGGUUAUUGCAUACGCUUCGCCGUAGCUAGAGAUUCACGAGAAGAACUAUUGUGUUCAUGACUUGGAGUUGGCUGCCAUUGUUCACGCGCUAAAGAUUUGGAGGCAUUAUCUAUAUGGCGUGUCAUGUGAGAUGUUCACAGAUCAUAAGAGUUUGCGGUAUUUGUUUAAGAAAAAAGGAGCUCAAUUUGAGGUAGAUGAGGUGGUUGAUAGACUAUGAUAUCACCAUCUUAUAUCAUCCCGGGAAGGCUAAUAUGGUGGCUGAUACUUUGAGUAGGAAGUCAGCCUGUAUAGGCGGCCUUGCGUAUAUUCCAUUUGAUGAGAGACCACUUGCAUUAGAUGUCCAGGCCUUGGAGAAUCAGUUCAUGAGGUUGGAUGUUUUUUAGCCCAGCUGUGUGUUAGCCUGCACAGUUCCUCAGUCUUCCUUGUUUGAGCGCAUCACGGAUCGGCAUUAUGAUGACACUCAUUUGCUCGUCCUUAGGGACAUAGUGCGGCAUGGUGAUACCAAGCAUGUUAUGGUUGAAGAUGAUGGAGUUUUGAGGAUAUAGGGUCGUGUUUGUGUGCCCAAUUUGGAUGGUUUUCGACAGUUGAUUUUAGAGGAGGCCCACAGUUCCCGGUAUUCUAUUCAUCCGGGUGUCUCUAAGAUGUAUCAGGAUUUGCGGCAGCAUUAUUGGUGGAGUAGGAUGAAGAAGAAUUUUGUUGCAUAUGUAGCUCGGUGUUUAAAUUGUCAGCAAGUAAAGUACGAGCAUCAGAGAUCUCGUGGUUGUUUCAGGAGAUAGAUAUUCCUAAGUGGAAGUGGUAGUGUAUCCAAUGGACUUUGUUGUUGGACUCUUACAGACUCAGAAGAAGUUCGAUGCAGUUUGGGUGAUUAUGGAUAGGAUGACUAAGUCAGCACAACUUCCUAUUCGCCGGAGCGGUUUGCAAAGAUUUAUAUUCGUGAGAUCGUUCAUCUUCACAGUGUGCCCCCGACUAUUAUUUUUUAUCCAGGUACGUAGUUAAAGUGUCGCACUUCUAGAGGGCAGUGCAACUUGAGUUGGGUACGCGGGUCGGGUUGAGAGUAGCAUUUCAUCCUAAGUCGGACGAACAGUUCAAACUUACUAUUUAGAUCUUGGAGGAUAUGAUCUAUGCCUGUGUUAUUAAAUUUGGAGGUUCUUGGAAUCAAUUCUUACCUUUAGCCGAGUUUUCCUACAACAACACUUAUCAGUCGAGCAUCCAAAUCGCUCCUUAUGAGGCAUUAUAUGGUAGACAAUGUCGAUCACCUAUUGGAUGGUUUUAGUUGGGGGAGACUGUGUUAUUGAGUACAAAUUUGGUACAAGAUUCCCAAAAGAGUUAUACCAACCAUAAAUUUCAUGAUGUAGCAUUCAUGGUCGGAGAGAGACUGUAGAUUCGAGUGUCACCCAUGAAGAGCGUGAUGUGGUUUGGGAAGAAGGUAAAGUUAAGGCCUAGGAUCAUCGGGCCUUUUUAGAUCCUUGAUCAUCAACUGAGAGAGGUGGCCUACAGACUUGCGUUGCCACCAGGCUUAUCAGCGGUACAUCCAGUGUUUCAUGUGUCCAUGCUUUGGAAGUAUCAUGGCGAUCCAUCCCACGUGUUAGACUUCAGCACUGUCCAACUCGAUAAAGAUUUGACCUACGAGGAGGAGCCAAUAUCUAUUCUAGACCGUCAUGUUUGUCAAUUGAGAUCAAAGAGUUAUCUUUCAGUUUGUGUGCACCGGAGAGGUCAACCUGUUAGGGCAGCUACCUAGGAGCCUGAGUCCGAUAUGCGGAGUAGAUAUCCCCAUCUUUUCUCCAGCUCAGGUACUUUUCUAUGUCCGUUCGAGGACAAAUAGAUGUUUUAGAGGUGGAGAAUGUGAUGACCCGAUAGAACCCAAUUCAAUUUUCCGAAGCUUUCAAAACCACAUUUUAUUUCUCCUCAAUUUGUGUGUGCAGUCCGGACGUGUAUCCGAAAAGCUUUUGUGUAAAAAAUUGAGAAAAUAAUAAUUUUUAGUUUAAAAGUUGAUUUUUUUACUUGGGUCAAUAUUUUGGUAAACAGACCCUGCCUUGCCUUUUGACUGUGACGGUCUCGGUAGGUACGUAGUUAAACAUGAAACCUGGAUGUAUGCCCGGAAUCGAAUUCCGAAGUCCCUAACCCGAGAAAUGUAUAUUUGAUGAAGGUUGCAAAACUGAAAUUAUAAAGGUUUUAAGAAUUGGUUAAUAAUUAAUCUUGUUGAUACCGGGUCCUUAUUGUUGUUCCGGAACCCGGUACAUGUCUUUUAUGAUAUUUAUAUCCCAUUUAUGAAGUUUGGUGAUAAACAGGACAACUUUGACGUGAUUCGUACCUUUGGUAGAGAAAAUAGGAGUUUGAAACUAUCUUGAAAAUUUUAUAAAAUUUAGUGUUAAAUUCAUAGUUCUAGGUAAUAUUUUGGAAAUUUGAUUACGUGAGCAAGCUUGUAUGAUAUUUUAAGACUUGUGUGUUUGGUUUGGAGCUCCGAGGGCUCGAUGAGUUUCGAAUAGGCUACAGAGUGAUAUUAAGAGAGAUUGUUGGUAUGUUUCAGGAAAGCAGACUUCGCAUUUGCGAGGUCUAGCUAGCAAAUGCGAGCCUCGCAUUUGCAAAGAUUGUUUGCAUUUGUGAGGUAGGGGAGGGGAUUGGGUUAGGGCUAUGCACGGAUCAGAUCGGACCGAAUUUAGCACAUUUCGGAUUCGAAUUUCAUAUUUCGGAAACUAGAAUAUGCAAUCCGAAUCCGAAUUCGAUCUGAAUUAUAUCGGACUGGAUCUGAUUUGAAAGUUUGGAUCGGAUCGAAUUUUGGAUCAUAUUAUUAUGCAUCAAAGCUAAGCUAAUAUGUAUAUUUUCUUUGUAAAAAGGCAAUACAUCAAGCAAAAAUCAUGUUUAUGCAAUUAUGAGAGUAAUACGGUGGCAAUAUAACUAAAUGUAGCAAUUGUAUAUGUAAAAACUUGGAGGUUGAUGUAAAGGAAGUAUUGACUAUCCGAAAUUAUAGUGUAUUAUUAAUACAUGCCCUAAUAAUUUCAUAUUUCGGAUCAGAUCAGGUUAAAAUAUAAAAAUCCGAAUCGGAUAUGAAAUCCGAAUUUUUAAAACAUACAAUCCGAAAUCUGAUCCAAUCCAAUCCGAAAUCUGAAAUUGAAUGGAUCGGUUAGGAUUUUGGAAAUCUGAUCCGAAUGAAUAGCCCGAGACUGGGUAGCUUACAUUUGCAAAGUAUAGGUCGCAUUUUCAGAAGUCCAGGUUCGCAUUUGCGACAGGGACUUUGCAUUUGCGAUGGAAGUAGAAACAUGAGGAGUUCGCAUUUGCGAUACUUUUCUCGCAUUUGCAAGCUUUGCAAAUGCGAAGGUCAUGUCGCAAAUGAGACAUCUGUAGCGGAUAACUUUCGACUUAGAUGGGAUUUUUCAUUCAUUCUCCCAUUUAUCAAAACCUAAACUUCAAGAGGCGAUUAUCUUAAGGUUAGUUCUUCCCCAAAUCAUAGGUAAAUGAUUUUUAACUCAUUUCUUUCAAUCUUUUAUUUCUUUUCACAAGAUUUCAUCCUAGAAUCUAGGGGUUUUCAUAGUAUAAUUAGGAAUUUUUGGAUAGAACUUAGGAAUUACGAAAUUUGGGGAUUUAGACCUCAUAUUAAGGUCGGAUUCUAAAAUCAAUUGUGUAUCAAGGCUUGGAGGUGAAUGGAUAAUCGAUUUUUGAGCACGCGGACCUAGGGCCAAUUUUUGACUUUUUGAGGAAAAUAUUGGGAAACCUAUAAUUAUGCAUUGGAAAAGAUUUCUUUAGCGAUAAUUGAUGUUGUUAUGUUAACUAUGACUAGAUAUGAGUGGUUCCGAGGUGGAAAAUAGAGGAAAAGCAGUGAUUGAGUCUUGAGUAUGGUUGUGCAAUCGAGGUAGGUGUCAUGUCUAAUCUUAGCUUGAGGGAUUAGGUAUAGUUGUCUACUUGCUAUGUGUUUGUUGUUGUGUAUGACAGAUAGGCCGUGUGACGAGUAUCUAUACGUUGUUGUCGGGUCAUAGUAUAUAAGUGAGUCUUAUUCUUAUGAUUGUUGCAUUCUUUAUUCUAUAUGUUCAUGCUUAAACUGGUCAUUUUUCAUGUCGAACAAUACUUAUCAUGUUUACUGGAAUUGAAUAUUUGUUGAGCAUUGAUUCGAAGUUGAGGUUGACAUUGGGAAACUAAAUAUUGAUAUGGGGCUUGUUACUAAUAAUCACAUUGCCCAUUUGUUAUUAUUUUUUAUUUGGGUGAGGAAAAAUGUAAAGCACGAAGGGUGAUACCGUGCCAUUGCAUAUUUAUUUUCAUGUGAGGAAGAGUGUAAAGCAUGAAGGGUGAUGCCGUGCCAUUUCAUAUUUACUUUCAUGUGAGGAAGAAUGUAAAGCACGAAGGGUGAUGUCGUACCAUUUCAUAUUUGCUUUCAUUUGACGAAGAGUGUAAAGCAGGUGAUAUCGUGCAAUUUCAUAAUCAUUAUCAUUUAUUCAUUUCAUUUGUUGUUGUGUUUCUUUACUAUUUUGUUUUCAUGAUCUCGUACUCCCCUCAGUAUGCUUUCCCCUACCAUUAAUAUGUGUUUAAUUUCUAUUAUCUUUUAUUAUGUUGUAUAUUGCAUAACUUCAGAGGUUUAUAUAUGUGUCUUGUCCUAGCCUCGUCACUACUUUAUCGAUGUUAGGCUUGGCACUUACCAGUAAAUGGGGUUGGUUGUACUUGUACUGCACUCUGCACUUUUUGGGCAGAUUUUGAUACUGGAACAUAUUGAUCAUUGUUGGGUUACAUCCUUCAGUCCAUCAGAAAAGGUAGAUCUGCCGGCGUUCGUAGACCCUGGAGUCCCCUUCCAGUUAUCCUUGUUUUCCUGUUUUCUUUUAAUUCGAGAAUAGUUGUAUUUUCUUUCAGCCAGUAUUUGUAGUGACUCUUAGUAGUUCGUGGAUUGUGACAUCAAAUUUUGGGUAGUCGUGUAUAAGUACAUGAAUUAUUAUGAAUUUUUGCACCUCUUUACUCUAUUUUGGCUUAAUUAUAGUUAGUUACUGAUUUGGAUAAUGGUCCGCAUGUCAAUUCUUUAGCUAUUGGCUUGCCUAGUAUUAUGAAAAGUUAGUUAACAUUACGAUCCCGAUGGUGGAAAAUUCGGGCCGUGACAUCAACUAACUUAAAACUUGUAUUGAAUUCCCUCAUUCUCCACGUGGUCUCCUAAACUGACUUAAAACUUGAAAUGAAUUCCCUCGUUCUCCAGGUGGACGCCUGCAACUGAUUUAAAACUUGAAAUGAAUUCUCUCAUUCUCCAAGUGGGCUCCUGCCAGUGACUUGAACUUGGAAUAAAUUCCCUUGUUCUCCAUGUGGGCGCCUGCGAUAGACUUAAAACAUGAGAUGAAUUCCCUCGUUCUCCAGGUGGGCGCAUGCAACUGACUUGAAACUUGAAAUAAAUUCGCUCAUUCUCCAGACGGGUGCUUGCCAAUUAUUUAAACUUGAAAUAAAUUCCCUCAUUCUUCAGGUGGGUGCCUAUGACAGACUUGAAAAUUGAAAUAAUUACCUCGUUCUCCGGAUGGGCGCCUGCAGUCACAACAAAACAGUCAAAACAAAGAAAAUUUUCUGCCCUAGUUUAUACCAGGAACAUUUGUGAGUGUUAGUUGAAUCACUUUUUCCAAGAGGGUCCUGAAAAUUUAAAAUUGAAUCCCAUUAUCCAGGAGGUUCCUAAAAACUUAAAAUUAAAUUCGAUUAUCCAUGAGGGUCCUGAAAAGUUAAAACUGAACUUUCCUGGAACAUGCUUUCCUCAUGGAGGAUUCUUGCGAAGCAAACAAAAUUUCUUGCCCCUAUUUCAAACAAAGAAAAUCUCAUCAGUUUGAAAAUAUGGUGGUUAAUUUGUGGUAUCCUUGCUGAAGGUGUCUACUUCUGCCACUACCAUGCUUCAUUUAGAUUAGUUGUUUCGAGCUAACGAAGAAUUGUUUGACCUUCCGAUCGACCCUCGGCCACAAAAACCUCCAAAUGACCCGAAUCCCUUACAUUAAACUUGUUGUAUGGCAUUUUUAUUCUUACAAUUAUUGAACCUUUGUAUUUCCUCAAAAUCCAUGAUCACCUGACCGCCUGAACUUCAAUUACCACCACAUUGCUCAUUGUGAAUCAUGUCACUUGUGAUGUGCUUGGCCGAACUUUUCUUGAUGCAAUUAAAAAUCUAGAAAUGGGAUUUGAAUUCCUUUCUUGCUUGCUUAAUAAACAUUGACUUGACAGAGACUUAGAAAAAUAAACCCAAAAGAAAUGAAGCGAAGUGACUUCGAGAAAUUAGAAAUAAAAAGAAAAUUUUGAACAAAGAUGACUAUUUGAAGAAGAACGGAAAAGAUACUUAUCUGAUUGAAGCAACUGGCUCCAAUGAUCAUGACAUGCAUUUUGGAUUGAUCAGCCUAAUCCACCCAACUAAUCAUAUUUUAGUUCAAGCGAUGUAUUCAUACUUCAAAUAACAGGGAUUUCAAUAAUCCAAUUUCUCUGUAGAGGCACGAAUCUCAUUCGGUUUGUAGUGCCCCAAAGGUUCACCAGCAAACCUAUCUCACUUGUUCAUCUCUGAGCUCACAGUCGUCUUAAAUCACCCACGAGGAUUUUAACCAAUAAGACUCUCUUGUUUUAAAUUUUCUCCCAGCUUUCCAUCACCUUAUGAUGCCCGUGAGGGUUUCACCAAUAACACUCUCUCAUUUUAUUCAUCUUUCCUUGUGCCCAUGAACAAAGUGUUACCCAUGACGUAAAUCAUACCUCUAUCUCGAUUGACUUAACAUCCUCGAAGAUUGAUCAAAAGGUCUCUUUGGACCAUAGUGUAGGCUUUUGGACAGGGUUAAAAAGAAAGGGUAGCAUGAAGGCUCAAAAUAAUUUAAGAUGAAAGGGUUAUAAUUACAACUUUUAGAAUCAGAUCCUUUUGCAAAACUAAAACUUUUUCCCCUAUUUCUUUGCAUCUGGGGAGUUUUGGAUUUUUAUUUGAUGGGACCGAACCUCAGAGUUAGGUUGUCUACGUAUCCUUAAAAAAGAAUUAGGUCGAGUGUAAUUCAAAUGUAAAGUUAUUUUUUGCUUUUUUCCUUUUUCUUUCUUUUUUUUUCUUUUUUGUUAUUUUCUUUUCUCCCUUUGGUUUUUCUUUUAUUUUCCUUUUCCUUUUCCAUUUUUAUGCUACUUCUAAUUUCAAAAUAUGGGUAUGAAAGAAAACAAAUAAGGUUCAAAAGUGGUGACAAAAGAUAAAUGUCUUUGGGUAGUAUAAUAAAAUGCCUUCGUCAUUCUAACAUUGAACAUGCCAAGUGCAGAAAAUGCAAAUGAAGAUAAGCCGAAAAAUUAUACAUAAUGUCUCUUGACUGCAUAAGAAUUGAUAGCCAUAUCUACGCAUUUGCCUUCUAUAUCUGUUUAAUACAAAGUACCAUUGGGCAACACUCUUGUCACAAUGAAUGGUCUCUGCCAGUUUGGGACGAACUUGCCUUUAGCUUCUACUUGAUGUGGAAUGAUGUGUUUCAAUACCAACUGGCCCGCUUCAAAUUUCUAGGGAUGCACCUUCUUGUUGCAUGCUCAUGUCAUUAUCUUCUUAUGCAAUUGACCAUGACAUAUUGCUUCCAAUCUUUUCUCAACAAUGAGACUCAACUGCUCCAGUCGGGUUUUAACCUACUUAUCAUCAUCAAUUUCAGCUUUCAUAACAAUCUAAAGGGAUGAAAUCUCAACUUUCGUAGGUAUGAUUGCCUCCGUUCCAUAUGCCGGCAAAUAAGGAGUUGCACCUACUAAGUGCAAACAGUGUAAUAGCCCAGUAAAACAAAAGGUAACUUUUAAUGACAUUUUUUAGAACCUUGCACCAUCUUACGAAGUAUCUACUUUAUGUUCUUGUUAGUGGCCUCAACAUCUCCACAUUUGCCUUGGGACGAUUUGGAGUGCAAUUUCAAUGCAGAAUCUUGAACUGUGUGCAUACCUCUUUCAUCAAAUGACUAUUGAGACUAGCAGCAUUUUCUGUGAUGAUUACCUUAGGAAUUCCGAACCGGCAGAUGAUAUUUGCAUGAACAAAAUCUACUACUACUUUCUUGGUCAUGGACUUAAAAGUUACUGCUUUGACCUAGUUGGUAAAGUAAUCAAUGGCCACCAGAAUAAACCUAUGCCCAUUUGAUGCUGUCAGCUCAAUUGGUCUGAUGACAUCCAUGCCCCAAGCAACAAAAGGCCAAGGUGUAGAUAUUGAUGGCGAAUGAUGUAUCAAAUCACCAUGCACCUGGUAUUGAUGACAUUUGUAAACAAAGCUGAUGCAAUCUCGUUCCAUUGUAAACCAAUAAUAACCUGCUCGAAGUAUCUUCUUUGCGAAGACAUACCCACUCGUAUGCGGACCAUGAACUCCAAAAAUUCACUUCGAGCAGAUAGCCGAAGCUUGUUUGGCAUCUAUUCACCUCCGUAGUCCAAGAUCUGGAGUCCUCUUGUACAAGAUUCUCCCGCAUAAUAAAAAUCCACUAGCCAAACGUCUAAUGGUUCUUUUUUUAUCGUCUUUGGUAUGUACUGGUUAUACCCNNNNNNNNNNNNNNNNNNNNNNNNNNNNNNNNNNNNNNNNNNNNNNNNNNNNNNNNNNNNNNNNNNNNNNNNNNNNNNNNNNNNNNNNNNNNNNNNNNNNNNNNNNNNNNNNNNNNNNNNNNNNNNNNNNNNNNNNNNNNNNNNNNNNNNNNNNNNNNNNNNNNNNNNNNNNNNNNNNNNNNNNNNNNNNNNNNNNNNNNNNNNNNNNNNNNNNNNNNNNNNNNNNNNNNNNNNNNNNNNNNNNNNNNNNNNNNNNNNNNNNNNNNNNNNNNNNNNNNNNNNNNNNNNNNNNNNNNNNNNNNNNNNNNNNNNNNNNNNNNNNNNNNNNNNNNNNNNNNNNNNNNNNNNNNNNNNNNNNNNNNNNNNNNNNNNNNNNNNNNNNNNNNNNNNNNNNNNNNNNNNNNNNNNNNNNNNNNNNNNNNNNNNNNNNNNNNNNNNNNNNNNNNNNNNNNNNNNNNNNNNNNNNNNNNNNNNNNNNNNNNNNNNNNNNNNNNNNNNNNNNNNNNNNNNNNNNNNNNNNNNNNCACUUGAUGUAUUCCUUAAUAUCAUGGAACCAAGGUUCACCAUCAAGUUCUUCUUAAACCAUAUUAUAAUAGGCAUGCUGAUCACGGACUUGGAUAUGCAGAGGGUCGACGCAAGUCUUAUCCUGAUAGUGUAACACUGAUGCCAGAAUGGCCAGGGCAUCGACAACCUCAUAUGGAUCCUGGGAAUAUUCCUAAAUUCUACUGACCUAAAUCAUUGACAAAGAUCAUGCAGACAUUCUCGAUACGGUAUGAGCUUCAAAUCCCGAGUCUCACAUUCUCCCUAAAUAUGGCGAACCAACAAAUCUAAUUAUCUUGAACCAGUAUUUCUUGGACUCCCAUGUCUAUAGUUAACCUCAAACCCAGAAUGCUUGCUUCGUACAUAGCCAUUUUAUUGGUGUAAUAAAGUAGAAGUUGAGCUAUUACGAGGUAGUGAUGCCGUGUUCAGAAAUGCGCACAACUCUUAUUCUAACACCCUUCAUGUUAGUAGCUCCAUCAAAGAAUAGUUUCCAGCCUAGAUUUUCAUUAUGAUCAACCUCAUCAACACGCAUCACUUCUUCAUCAGGAAAACAAGUCUUUAGUGGCUCAUAUUCUUCAACAACAAGAUUUUCGACCACGUGGUCGGCCAAGGCUUGGGUUUUUAUUGCGGUCCGAGUUAUAUAGAUGAUGUCAAACUCUAUGAGUAAAAUCUGCCACUUCGCAAGUCUUCCUAUAGUCAUAGGCUUCUGAAAGAUAUACUUUAAGGGAUCCGUACGAGAAAUGAGGUACGUAGUGUAGGAUGAAAGAUAAUGCUUCAACUUUUGUGCCACUCUAGUAAAGGAGCAACAUGUCCUUUCAAGAAGAGUAUACUUAACCUAAUAAGGAGUGAACUUCUUGUUGAGAUAAUAAAUGGCUUGCUCCUUCUUGCCAGUGAUAUCGUGUUGACCCAACACACAACCAAAAGAAUUAUCCAGGACUGUCAAAUAGAGAAUCAAGGGUCUCCCAAGCUCUGACGAGGCCAACACAGGUGGGUUUGACAGGUACUUCUUCAUCUCAUCAAAUGCUUCCUGAUACACAUCAGUCCGCUUAAUCGUAGUAUUCUUUUUCACCAAGUUAAAGAUGGUCUCACAAGUUGUCGUGAUCUAAUCAAUAAACAUGCUUAUGUAGUUUAACUGUUCGAGCAGGCUCAUCACCUCAGUUUUAUUCUUUGGUGGUGGUAAUUCUUGGAUGCUUUUGAUCUUCGAUGGAUCCAACUCAAUAUUUCAUCAACUGACUAUGAAUCCCAACAUUUUCCCAGACGGGACACCAAAUGCACAUUUUUCUAGAUUGAGCUUGAGGUUGUACCUGCAGAGCCUUGGAAAAACUUUCUCAAGUCCCCGACAUGGUCAGACUGCUUCUUUGACUUUAUGAUCACAUCAUAUACAUAAACCUCAAUCUCCUCAUGUAUCAUGUCAUGAAAUAUGGUAAUCAAUGCCCUCAUAUAAGUUUCUCUAGCAUUCUUCAAAUCAAAUGGCAUUACCCGAUAGCAAUAUGUUCCCCAUGGCGUGAUGAACUCUAUCUUUUCUGCAUCUUUCUCAUCCAUCAAGAUCUGGUGAUAGCCCGUGUAACAAUUCACAAAAGACCCAAUAUUAUGCUUGGCACAAUUAUCGAUCAGAAUGUGAAUGUUUGGUAAUGGAAAAUUAUCCUUUGGGAUCACCUUGUUGAGAUCACAAUAAUCAACACAUACCUUGGUCUUAGCAUUCUUCUUUGUUGCUGGCACAAUAUUAGCUAAGCAAGUAGGAUAUUGAGUGACCCGAAUGACGUUUUCCCCAAGUUGCUUUGUUAUUUCUUAUUUAAUCUUCACACCCAUGUCAGUCUUGAACUUUCUUAUCUUUUGCUUGACAGGAGGUAAUGCAAGAUCAGUUUACAAUUUAUGAACUACCGUAUCGGUGCUCAAACCCGGCAUAUCAUCAUACGACCAUGCAAAGACAACUUUGUACUCAAACAACACUUUGAUUAUUUUUUCUUUGAUUUGCGGUUCAAGAUACACACUUAUCUUAGUUUCCUGACAUUAUCCUGAUCUCCUAAAUUGAUUGCUUCAAUUUCAUUCAAAUUAGGCUUGAGUUUUUCUUCAAAGUGUUUUAGUUCUUUACUUAUUUCUUCAAAUGCUGCUUCUUUAUCAUAUUAUGUUUCAUCACCGCACUCUACUUCUUGAGUUAUUAUUUCAGAAUUAGAUUGGCUAUUAAAAUUUGAUUAAAAAUUCCUCAUGCAUGUCAUGUCAUUCAAACUAGCAUAAAAAGAACUCUAAAAAAAUUCAAAAAUGAAACGCUAUCAGGAAUAAUGGAAAACGGGAAAUUAUAUUUCGUUCCGAAUAAAAGGAUAGAAAGUUUUGUACAUCAAAACACGAAAAAAAAAAUAGGGAUUACAACUCUGGAAUAAUCCAAAUAACAGAAAGGAAAUUAAGUCAAACUACCAAAACUCCUUUCAUGUGGGGAGAGGAGUAGCUUUCCAAUUUCUAAGCUUCAUAUUUGAACCUUCCCCAAUUUCCACCUUAUUAACCUCAUCAACAGACUCUGGAACCUCUUGAUCAGCUCUUCGUCAAAGUCAUCCACAAGUUUCGUGACUAAUGAUAUUGGAUCUUUUGCGGCCCCUAGCUUGAAAAAAGACUUGGAGAUGUGUAGAACAUGCUUAGGGAGUGAUCAUACUUUCUGUUUCAAAUUUUUAGCCCAUUUCACAUCCUUCUCUAUGGGCGUGAAUCCCAAACCAAAUGUACCGGCACUUUCACAUGGACACAGUAGAUGCAAGUACCCUGUAGAGAUGAACCCACAACUUUGCGCCGCACAAAACCAUUCCUCAACAUCUCAUUAGCUACCAUGACGGACGCGGAGGGUAGCUUCGGACAUGGAAUGCAUUCUCCCGUAGGAAUCUUCUCAACAAACACAAUUUCAAAAGUUUGGUAGACUCAAGUCCCUUUAUCGUCUUCAGCUUCAAUAAAUGGAACAGUUGUGUCAUUGUAAGACGAUAAGUUCUCAUCACCAUGCACAACUAUUUCCUUCAUGUCGCAUUCGAACUUUACCAUCUAAUGCAGAGAAGACGCGACUACCUUAGCAGCAUGUAUCCAGGUCCUACCUAACAACAAGUUGUAUGAGAUAGACACAUCUAUCACUUGGAACUCCAUAGUGAACUCAACUGGCCCUAUCGACAAUUCGAGCAUUAUAUCACCGACAGAAUCUUUCCUUCCUCCAUCAAAAGCUCGAACACGUACAUUAUUCUUGUGGAUUCUUUCAGUACCAAUUUUCAACUUUUUCCAAGGGACGGAGGGCAAAUAUAGCUGUUAUCAACCAAUACCCUUGUGAAAAUUGAAUCCUCGCACUUCACCGUGAGAUAAAGUGGUCGGCUAUGUUCCGUACCUGAUAACUAGGGAUUCUAGUAUAUUUUAUGCUCUUUUUUGCUUGAGUUUUGUAGUAAAACAGUGUACAAGUAUUCCCAAAAGGUAACUUAUUAUGUUUGUUGCUGUGUUUGGUAAAAAAGAGACAAAGAAGUCAAAACCAUCUCAAAAAGGAAUGAAACCUCCAUAACUUAAAGCUGAGGCAACUACGCGCUGCAGCAGAAAAUCAACGAAGGAUCCACCGUUGUGGUGCUUUUGAUCUCACGAUACGCGGUGGAAAAGAUCAGAGAGAUUUCAUUUGGGGCUUUUGAAGUCACCGCUGACCUCAAUGCUUUUAUGCGACGGCGGUUCCUCCACCGCGACAGCAGUUUGUUUGCCGCAGUCCGCGGAGAAGAGGUUCAAAGAGCCUGAAGUUAAGCUGAAAGUUGAAGACUACAGUUCGCGCUUGAUUUUACGUGGUCGCGGUAGCCUCACCACUGUAGCGGUCCAUUUUUCCCUGUCAGCGGUACAUCCGUCAUGGGCAAUUGUUUCCAAAAAAAUGGUUGUGUAUAAAUACUUCUUUUUCAGAUUUUUAGGUCAUCUUAUCUUUAGUGAGCACGUGAAAUCGCAGUUUUUGCUUUUUAGAGUAAUUUUGUUGCUGGUUUAGCAAUUAAUCUUAUAUUCUUAUCUUGUAAUUACAUUUUAUGGGUUAUUCUUCAUCUCAAUUUAUGAUUCCUUCUUCAAUUAUGGUAGUUAAACCCAUUAUCUAGGGUUGUGUCUCAACCCUAGUGUGGGUAUUUAAUGGUUAUCCUAUUUUAGGGAUUAGAUAUUUAUGGGUGAUUGAUAUUUGGUCUGAUUUGUACUUUUUAUGUUGAAUUUGUGGUUGCAAGUACUAGUUUGUGCCUUUUUUACUUAGGCUCUUCUUUAGAAAGUGAGCUUAAUUCUAGGAAAUUCAGGCCAAUAAGGAAUUGCGGUGUAUCAAGAGAUUGAUAGCCCCAAUUAAAGAGUUAAUCCUAGAGAUAGUAAAUACCGACUUGAGCCAACUUUGCUUGCACAAAUUGAACACCCAAUUAGGCUUGAGAAAGCCAAUUAGGGCAAAGUCACUCAAAUUACCGAGAGGUAUAUAGUGAGUAUCUUCGUGCAUUGGCUAUAUCAUGAUCCCAACUAUAAUAUUAUUGCCAUAAGUUCUAGAUCUCAUUAGAUAUUCACCUAGGAGUUAGACACUUCCUAUUGCCUUUUUACUAAUUUAGAAAACCCUACAAAAACAUCUAUUUAGCUUCAUUUCGUGUAUCAUUAGUAUAAAAUUAGAAGUAACAAACAAACAAGAACGAUUGGAAGUGCAAUCAAAAACACUGUACACUGCUAGAUUAGAUAGGAAUCCAACUCCGAACAUAUCCUAUCUCCCUGUGGAUAUGAUACAACCUUUUCGGGUAAAAGCUGCAUCGGUCACUCUUGCCACUCUAUAGUGGUGUAGGGUUGGACUUGAUCAGUACCCUCAUUAGGAAGUUCAUCAUCUAAGAAAGUUAUCUUGUUUUCUUCGAAGAUCUUGUUAGCAAUCUUUUCCAAGUGGUUCACCAUGAUCUUAUCAGACAUAUGGGACUCAUUCAAAAUCUUCAUCGGUGCUCUGCGGUGUUCAUCUAAAUGUAUCAGCAAAGAUAGAAGAGAGAUCUGAGCUGGUGUUUUCCUUAACUUCUCUACAAUGGAAUAGUCUUACACUUUCAUCCUUUUGAGGAACUCCUCUGCCUCUUCUUCGGCGACUAGCUUCUUUUACUAGGAUUUGGCUAUCCUUGAAUGGCUUGGCUUUUAUCAAUUCCUAUGGGGUAAUGCAUCUACCAGAAUGAGUCAGUCCUCCGGUUUCAUUGACUUAUUCCUCUACUUCUUUGCCUUUAUAUGUCACUAUCACUUGUUUGUAAUUCCAUGGGAUAGCCAUUGUAUCAACCAUUGGCAACUGGGUCACUAGUUUAAGAACGACAGGUGAUACGGGCCCCUUCCACGACUAUGACAGGCUUUUUUAGGAUCCCUGGAUUUUCCUAACUUGCUUCAACACCAUUCGGAAGCCCUUUCAUCACCAAUACAGGUGGCUUCAUGUUGAGCGUGCUCAACUUCUCCGUCACCACCUCAACUAUCAAGGGCAUUGCUUUUGUAGAAUUUGAAGCCUUAAAUGGAUUACUUUCACUAGAAAAAAUCAUCACUAUGGACUUAGAAGAAUUCUUGAGCUCUGCAUCUUUACGAACUAUUUCGAUCAUAUGCGUCUCUUCAUGGGCUACCAAAGGAUAAUGUGAUUUGUAUCAAUAAGCUCUUGGAUUGCUCCCUUCAAAUGCCAACACUCUCUGUUUCGUGCCCUGGGUCAUCAUAAUAAUAUGCACAUAUGAGGCAAUAAUCAAGGUUCUUUGGAGAGGGAUUUAGUAUUUUGACUCAAUCGUCCUCAAGAAAUCCAACUGCCUGAAACAACCUAGUAUAGAACUUACUAAUGCCACACCUCCUUUAUCGCUAUACACUCCCGCAAAAGAGGCGUAAAGGAGUUUUUCAACUUAAAGGACAAUCAGAACGGGAUUUGGUCAUGAAUUAUUUUAGAGUCGCCGCUUGGUAGAUUAAUGGUGUCCCAAGUCACCGAUUGAAUCGAACCGAGGAAAAAGAUGACUAUGUAUUACAGUCUGUGAUCAAGAAAUCCGAAUAAGAAAUUCUGUUAACCCGGGAGAAGAUGUUAGGCAUUCCCGGGUUCCGUGGUUCUAGCACGGUCGCUUAACAGUUGUAUUUGAUUUUAUCCGAUUUAAUAUAUGCAAACUUAUGAGUCUUUAUUCAUAUACCGCUUUUACCAUUAUUUAUUUUAAAAGACUUGCGACGUCAUGAAAACGUGUCUCUGGCCACGUCGCCAUCAAGGCACCCGUGGUCGUCAACACAUUUCUACUUUGUCAAGAUUUGGAUUUGGGUCGCAUCAAUGUGCACCCGAGUUUAAGAAAUUAAUUUAAUGAAUCGCGCUUAAAGGUUCUAACAUAAUAUUUUUGGGAAAGGCCGUUGAAAUUCGCUAAACGGCCCUUCCGAAUUCUAAUAUUUUUUAAUAACUAAUUAUUGAGGGCCUCACAUUUAUUUUUGUUCGGUGAGGCUCGUCUCCAUUUUUGAACCCUUUUCCGACCGUUAUUUAUUUUAUAAGAAUUACGACGUCGUGAAAACGCGUCUUGAAUCACGUCACAGUAAAUGAGCCCUUGAUUGUCAACACAUUUCCACUUCAUCAAGAUUUGGAUUUGGGUCACAUCAAUGUGCACCCGUACUUAGGAAGAUAAGAUUAUUUAAUGACAAGCUAAAGCAACUAUCGCGUUGUUAACUUUGCGAGGGCCAUGAAAGUUCAACUAAAUGGCACACCUCGAUUUCUAAAGGCUUAAAAUUAAUCAAGUAAGGGCCAUGAAUUUUGAGAUUUUAUUUGCCAUGGCACACCUCAAAAUGUUUAUGGAAAACACUAGUAGAAUAGAAUAAAAGGUUAUGCACACAUACCCACAGAACUAAGGUUCAAUUUGUCUUCUCCACACCAAUUAGUAACUAUCACCAUCUGUUUCUAAAUCAUGCAAGCUCAAUACACAUAUCUCAUCUUAUACAUAAAUUAUGUUGAUAUGCAUCCAAUCUAAUUUUAAAAAAAAAGAAUCAAAUGACACUUUAAACAGUUAGAACUAAAAGAACGAUCUCAAUGUUUCUUAAUCCAUCGUAGCCCGUAAUCGACAAAAGAAGAGUUGAACGCCGACGGAUCAAUUUUCAACUCAAAAUACAAACACCCAUUUUCAGUACUCAAAGACCGCAUUAACGAUUAUUACGGCUAUACUUCAAUAACGAACACAUCAAAGAGAAGGAGAAAGAAUCCAUAUCAAUUUCAGUCCUGAUUUCCGCACAUGAAUACUCGGGCAACAUUAUAUAUUUCUCAAGUGCGAAAUUAGCUCAAAUAAAAUCACAUGGUUAACUAGUAGUAUUAUACACCUGUUUUCAAGCUCGAAUUGUGACAUUAACAUUUAAUAAACUCCCACAAGAUCUAAUAGGCAUUUCAUCAAACAGAUUUUAUACAAUUGAAAAUCAACUAUAAAGCCAUCUCAGUUAUCACUCAAAUCAACUUUUGAAUAAUCAAAUCACAAAAUGGAGGGGAAAAGAAAAAAAAAUGAUGUAUAUUAACUGAUAAGAAGUCACCAAGAAAGACAAAGAUGGUGGUUGACAAUUUUGAACCUAACAUAACUCCAAUAACGGCUCAUAGGGGUCCAGCGGUAGUAAAAUGGAAAGCCCAAGCAAUUGGUCAAUGAUUGAGAAACGUCCAUUUAAAAUUCAAUUUCUCCAUACAAAUGUGAGAAAAGUCCGAAGCAAAAAAGGUUAGAUAGUAUGCCAUGUUUAACUUGAAAUUCAAAAUAAGGUCAUCAAUUACACACGAUAGAUCUAUGCGGUUGAAUCGAAUCAAAAGCUUAACAAAUUUGCCUUUUCAUAUAACAUCCAAACAAAAUAACAGGGGCGUGUAUACAUACCCGAUUGAGUUGAGACAACAAAAUUGAGAGCCUAAUCCAUCCGAAAAUAGCCAGCUCCUCUAAUUGGAAUCAAACAAACAAUCAAUGCCCAAAUGAAAACGAGAAUGCAACUGUAAGGCUCAGCAGCAUCAAAUCAAGCAGCGAGAGCAGAAUCAAAUGACCACGAAUCGCAGCGAAAUCUCGAACGAGCCUAGACUUCUUGCAGGGAAUUAAGAUCCGAUUGGAGCUGGUUCAAGGACUGAUUUACUGCUGAGUGUUUUUGAACUAUUUAAAUGAUUUUAGUGGGAAAAUUGGACCCUUUUGUGGAGAAAAUGUUGUUGCGUCUUUUUUCAGAGGAGAGCCUUCUGCAAAUUUUUCGCGUGUAUUCUUGUAGAGGAGCGGAUCUGCCCGUUUUUGCCAGGGGUAGGGUCACACAUUUGGCGUGUUUGUAAGGGGGAAGGAAUUUGGAUCGGGUAUGGGUGCAAUUUGGGCUGGGCGUAAAUCUGUUUUGCGCCAGGAAAUUUUGAUUAAAAAAUCAGCCCAAAAUUGGUCUUUUGCAAGACCAACUCUUUUCAAAGCUUUUCUUUUUAUUUCUUUAUUUUUGUUUGCUUUUCCAAUUUGUAUUUUUUGUAUUAUUCUUUCUGAUUUUAUAAAGGUGCAAAAAUUAAAAUAGAGUCUUAAUGUAUUUCAAAGCUAAACUAAUUAACUCCUAAAAUUAUUUAAAACCUAUUUCAUGAUAAAUUCACAAUUAAAACAAUUAAAAUGCAAAAAUGAACAAUUUUUGUUAUUUUUCAUAUUUGAUUCUAAAACAAAUUAACCCCUAAUUAAUGCUAAAAAUGAAAUUAGAUCCUAAAUUCAAAUUCAUAUUUUUGUAUUUUUUAUAUGAAUUAAAAUGCACAAAUAAAAUGCAACAAUUACCGAAAAAUGACACAAAAAUUCACAAAAAUUGUAAAAACAAGGGGAAAAAAUCAUUUUGUUUGAAUUUUUUUUGGAAUUCAUUCACAUAUAGGGCAAAAAUCACGUGCUCACAACCAAGAGGGGUGACGGUUUUUUUUCCUCUACUGCAUUUCUCUUGUAUAAUCCGUCCUUGGUUGAAGCUUGGACCAGUAGGGUUUUUCUAUGGUUGUGGGGUGGAUAAGGAUUUUUUGGAGUUGGAGCACGCCAUUAUGGGUAAGGAGGGGGUUGAGCAUAUGACUGUGCAUGGUGAACAUGAUACUGGGGUAGUCUGACAGAGUAUUGAGGGUCUUGUAGUGGGAAAUAAUGUUGGGGUUGAUUGUAUGGAGCUUGAGUGUGGGCUUGAGGUUGGGGCCAGGGAUGAGUGUACUGGUGAGGCAAAAUCCUCGAUCCAUGCCAUGGUUCAGAGACAACCAUAGCGACAUCUUCCUUCUUCUUUUUGCCCUGCAAACUUCCUGUGCCACUUUGAAUUGCAUGUGUAAUUGCUUUUACGGAAAAAUAGCUCAUAAUCUUGCUUGACUUGAGUCCCUCUUCCACCAUUCCUCCCAUCUUUACCACAUCAUUGAAGGACUUACAUAUGGCUGAGAUCAAAUGGCCAAAGUAAAUAGACUCUAAGGCUUGAAAAAAGUACCCGACCAUCUCGUCUUCUUGCAUCAGAGGAUUGACUCGUAUCACUUGCUCUCUCCAUCUGAACCUGUUUUCCCUAAAGCUUUCAUUGGGAUUCUUUUCUACCUUGGUAAGGGAUAGGCGAUCGAGGAUAAUGACUAUGUUGUACUGAAAGUGCCGAGAAAAAGUCUGAGCCAAAUCAUCCCAUGUGUACCACCUGCUAGUAUCUUGGCGGGUGUAUCACUCCAAAGCCUCCCCAUUCAUACUCUGAUUGAAAUACGCCAUCAAUAAUUCUUCUUUCCCACCGCCGCCUCUCAUCUUGUUGCAAACACCUCUCAAAUUGGCCACGGCAUCUCUGUGUCAAUCGUACAGGUCUAACUUGGGCAUCUUGAAACCAACGGUCAAUUGGACGUCUUCGAACAAGCACAAGUCAUUGUAAGCCACACUUACUUGACUUCAUAUCCCUUGCAUAUUCUUCAAACAUUUCUCUAAACUCUUCACUUUCAUGAAUAUCUCAUCUUGCUCCACGUUCUUGGAUGGUUUCUCGGUUUCAACAAGUGGCUCAAAGUGAGGGGUGUAGGGAUAAGAAUCCGGGACCUUGAAGGUUGGUUCUAGGGCAUAUAGGCGGGCAUCUAGAGCUUGGAAUACGGGUUCUAUAGAGGAUCGGUGGAGGGUAUCUUGUGAAGGAGCUACAAAAAUAGGAACAAACAUCGGAGUACGGUAUGAGGUUGUUUUGACUGGUGGAGCAUGGAAAAUUUGGGAUGAGAUACAUGGGUAAUUGUGGUAAGGGGUAAAGCACGGUACAUGUUAAGGGGAAGAUCAAUGGUAAUGAGAACCUGGGCUUGUGGCAGUGGUGGAAUGAAAGCAUGGUUUUCUGUAUAGUUAGCAGGGAAUGAAGGUGGAGGAUGUCCCAUAAUCCAGGCCUGACAUAUUUUCACCAUUUGAUGCUUCAACCUAUGGACCUCCUUUUUCAAACCAGAGACUCAUUUUACAAUCUCCGUCGGCGGGUCAACAACACAUGUGCCCGAUACUUUGCUAGUCAUAGCUGACUUGCGCUUCGACCUAGUGUUAUAUGGAUGACUUGCCAGAAUGCCAACAAACUAACCACCUACACAGAACCUGGCUCAAUGCACAUCCAAUACAUUGGUUAGUUUUGAGACGCUUAACCGAUAGGAAAUCGCACGUUAGGAUGCAAUGCACCUAAACAGUUAAACGCUUUUACCAUAUGUUUGAACGGCUGGAUGUUUCAUCCAAGCUUUAUCUAACCCUUUUUCACUCUGUACCUUUUCAUUCCCUUCCGCCUUCCUUUUAAUCACUCUUGAUUUUCUCUUCUUUUUUUUGUCACUCUUUUAUUUUUUUUGCACUCUCUUUUUCUCUUUUGGUUUUUUCCCAUUUUUCUUUUUAUUUUCACUCAAUUUUCUUUUCUCUUUUUUUAAUGUUAUGGCUAUGAUCGAAUCUUAUGGAGAUUUCCUACAUAUCAUGACACCACAUGAAUCAGAUCAUUGCAUAGUUCAGAGAUAUAAAUGCAAAAUGAAAGACAAGAAUAUUUUUGGGGUUUUCAAAAUUUCAUUAAUAAAAGACACCUUUUUGGAUUUUUCUAUUACACAGACUCGGAAGUACUGAUGGCUAAAAAUAAACAUACAGACUUGAAACAAAACCAUAAACAUGCUCGAAAGGACAAAAUAGACUCAAAAUAAAUAAAGUACAUACUCAAAAAUCGAAAAUCAUGAAAUACAUAAGAGCCUCGAAUGCUACUUCAGGGGCUCGCGGGACAUUAGUCGGUCUCAACGCGGACCUGCGUUCAUUCUCUUAUUAAAGGUGAUCCAGAUCAGCCAUUACCUGGAGGAAAAAUGUCAUCAUGAAAGAAAAAACAUGGAUCUAGUCAUAUCCUCACAUUCAUGGCACUUCAUUGUAACAUAACAAGCUAUUUCUUUGUUUCUCAUUCUGAUGAUACCCUUUUCUUGAAGCAAACGCCGAUUUGUUAUGCACGAGAUUCCAACACCUACGUGGCUGUGUCAUUUUGGUCUUGCAGCUUUUGAAUGCUUGCUUCUAAUUGGUAAAUCAAAGCAUAACAAUGUUCUCUCAAUAUUUUGAAGUAUUUUGUUUGCUGAACUAUCUCAAUUUUUAGGGUAGUCAGUUUUUCCUUUAAGAACUUGACUCAUUUAUCAUAUUUUUUCUUCAACCCUUGAGCAAACCCUAUCCAUUCUUCCGCACCUUUUUCCAACUAUGCUCGAGAAUUUGCCAAGUCUUCCUCGGCCUUUGUCAAAUCAGCCCCAAAAUCACACAUUUCCUGCCUCAUAUUGGUUAUGAGUCUUUCAUCUUUUUCGCUUUUUACCGGGGUCUCAAUGGCUAUUUUCAUCUUUCAGAUCUGAGCUAUGAGGGAUUUAUUUUCCCGAGCCAACCUCUUCUUUUCUCCUUUAGCCUCAUCAGCCUGCAAACUACCAUCAAAUUUGAUGUUCCUGAUUUAAUCUUCUAGCAUACUUAUGGUGGCCUAGUAUUGGUUCUCUUUAGCUAACCAAGCCAAAUGUUCAUGUGAUGCAUCGACAAAUUCUUGGAUAUAGGGACUUUUGGUCGGCCUUUCAGAUUCUUCAUUUGUCGCGACUCUCUUUCCAUACCAAGCAACAUAACCAGGCAAAACGUCGCCCUUGGAAAAAUCACAUACUCGGGUGUUUGCUCCCAAAUAUUGGCAUUUGCUCCAAAUUUGGCGAACCAUUUAGUCAAGAAAUUGGGCAUCGGAAUGCACUUCAACCGCAUGAAUACUAAGAUCUUCAUAUCUGGGAACUAUCUAGCAUCUUCCAUGUUAUCUCAAAAUUCGGUAUAGGGCUAGGGAUUGAUGCUUCAGGGACCCAUUAGAAGGGAGUAGGGGCCAGUGGCAGGCAUAUAAAUGAUCUCAUUAACAAGAGCCAGCCCAAUGUCCAUUCUAUCUUAUCUCCGCUUAUGGAACGGAGGUGGAUGAUCCAAUCUUUGACCUUUUCUAGCAUUUUGUAUCCGGUCACUCGUGCCCCAAACUCUUCGAUGCAAUUUUUCCUUGUAGAACCAUAUUUUAUGUAGCAGGAUUAGUGACAAAGGCCCUCGAUCAUCCACAUUCAAGAGAUUGCACCCCUCAAAAAAUCUGACCCCGGCCUUACAUGAUGUAAGGGCUCAGAAUAUAUCUGAUACAAUCAUGGGCGCGAGGGUACUCUUAGCCUGAGUAGUCAAAACAUGGGAAACUCCGGCUACACGUAAAUCAAUGCACCUGUCCUUCCUUGGAAAUACCAAAAGGCAUGAGAAUGCCACUAUGAAGGCAAAGCAUCUAUGUAUUUUCCACUUUGAUCGGUUUCCUUUAUUGUAGAGUCCAUUUUAUGGGUCUUCAGAUCCACUUAAAUGCCUGUAUCGUUGGUAUAGAAAGUGUAAAAUGGAAGUUCCACGUGCUAGAUUUUCAGUCUUGAUUUGCCUGUUUAUUUUCAGUAAGUCUAGAAAUUUGUGGGGAGUAACAGUCUUGGAGAUACCAGGUACUUGUGUCUUAAUCCUUCCAUACUCCCGGCAUUGCCCACGAUUUCUCUCAAAGUAGGUAUAAACUCAAAAUCUGAGAAGUGCAAGAAAUUAUGAGUGGGGUCCCAAAAUGACUCUAAUGCCUCUAUCAGAUUACUUCUAGGUUUAAUAUUCAAUAGUCCAGUGAGUUACCCCAAAUAUUGGCUGACCCUGUCUCAUUCUUGUUUUUCCAAAUCCUUCAACCUGUGGAGUGCUAGUGGAAUAUGAUAGAUAACCUUCACAGAUAAAUUCCGAACAAUGCUCAUUCUGCACAUUUUAAAUUAGGGUAACCAGCUGAAAACAUGUGAAUUAUGUUUAAAAACUGACCAUGAAAAGAUUAUUUUUGCAAAAUCCAACUGAAAACAAAUCACUUCGGAAGGGAAGAUUUUUGAGUUGUGUUUGCUAAGUGGUCAAAUUUGAGAAAAGGACCAUAGGUAGCUAUUCUUGCAAAAUGUACUUUCGGCAUCUCGUCGGGAUAUUUCUAUCUAUUUGGAUAAUAUUUUCAUAUUUUGAUUAAUUUUGGAAAAGCAGGGGUGGGCCUGAUGAGGGUUGCCUACGUAUCUCACAUACGGUGAGAAUCAAACCCGCGUAGUUCGGUAAGUUUCGAUGCAACAAAAAAAUAUAACUUAUUUUGAAAUGAAUUUUUUUUAAGAAAACUUUUGGCACAGUCUCGGGAUAUUUUGAAUACCGGAGUUUUUAGAAUCGGGUGAUUUUCUUUUCUUCUCACUCGAUUUUUCUCAAUUUUUUUCCCUAUUCUAGAAGUUGGUCAACAUGCAAGCCGAAAAAAAUAAAUGCACAAGUAGCACAUAAAAAUGCAUCAGGGUGGUCUUUUAAAUUGGGUGUACCUGUCCUAGACAGACUCAACCCCUGUGUUGAGUCCCUAAAGUCAAAUGCACGUGAUGCAAGCAACCUUACCUACUAGGGAUCCGACAUGAGGCUGUGUUAUUCUAAGUUAAAAACCUGGAUAUAUUGUUCUAGACCGGGCUUACCUGAGCGAACAACUCGGGGGAGGGGGGAACAUACUAGUAACCAAAAGAUCAUUCGACUUUGUAACUGAUCCGAUCCUCGUUCUAAAUUAAGUUAUGCCACUAACAGAAUAGAAGUCACGCCGGCGUGCACUUCCCAAAAGAUUUAUAAGACUCAGGGAAAAGAAGGGUUUUGUAACAAUUUAUAUAGAGUUUAAACAAUAUCAAAGCAGUAAAAAGCGGCAUUUAGCACAUUAGACUGCUACUAAGUCCGCAUGAUCUAACAACUUCAACCUUCAAACCACAAGAAAUUUAAUAAUUGAUGCCACACAUCACUCAUAAAUUGAACAAGAAUAUCUAUUAUUCUGAAGAAAGAAAAAGAAAAUGGAGAAGACAACAUGACAUUCAAAUAGCUCUAUCGUAAUAAGAUUUACAGCAGCACAAUCAGUAAUCACAAUUGAAAUAGAAUUCAUGUACCAUGAGAAAGCAAAUAGUGGAUAGAUUUGACAAAAAAUAAGAAAAUCACACAUAUUUGAUGCACAAAAUCUAAACAUAGGCAUAGCAAGAACAAAUCAUAUCCUUGAAUCUAUAUUUAGUAAUGAUUCAAACAAAUAGAUAGAUUACAUACCUAUCAACAAGAACAAUAAAAGAAAAGAUGACCAAACAAAAGCUAAACUUGAGAGCAAAUAGAGCUUGAUUGAACAAGACCAACUAAGCAGUAAUCAAUAACCCAUUGUGCUAAAAUUCAACAACUUCAAAAGCCAAAAAAUAUACCAGAAAAUAGUGAAGUUGAAGUAGCCUCCCUAUUUCCAUUUUCUCUAUUUAAGUAUUUAUGCCCUUUUCGAGAAUAAAUAUGCAAAAAUUAACGUGUAGUGUGUGAGGGGGUGUGAGGUCUCUUUUACAAAGUGUGAGAGUACAAGAUGAUAUAGGCAAUGAGAGAGAGAGAUUGAGGGAAUUUGACAGCAUUCCCUUAAAAUUAGAAAAUUGGCUUCUUUUAAAAAUAGAAAAAUGGACAAUUGUCCAGCUUUUCAGCAUUCCUUGUUAAUAAUUUUGGACAGCUAGUCCCUUUCUGGAAACCUCCCACAAACACCUAAAAAUUCAUAUCUUUACUUUUCAAUUAACCCCCCUUAAGGUUCUCUUUUUUACAAAUAGCCACCUUAAUUUUGAUCUUUCUGAUUCUCAAUGCCCUAAGUUUUUAUGUUCCCCUAGCUCCCUCAAGUUUCAAUUAUGACAGAUAAACAUUAAAAAAUAUAUGAAUAUAAACAAAAUAUUAAUCAACCAAACUAUUUAACAAUUAAUUGUUAAACUUAUGCAAUUACACUAAAUAAUACAAUUGAACUAACUGAUUAUGCACCUAAUUAAAGCGUUCAAACAAAAUAUAAUUCGACAGAAUUUAGGUAUCAAUUCGGUUAGAACAGGAGAGCAAGCAGAAAUGAUAAAAAAAAAAAGAUAAUAAUCCAUCAGUUAUUCAAACAAAAUCAUGCAAGUAACUAUUAAUUAAAUCAUGCACACACUGAAUCAAAUGAAAUUAAUUCCUAAUAUGCUAAAAAGUAAUAAGAACAUAUUAAAACUCAUGAAGCAAUAGUAAAGAUAAUGGAAAAUUACCUAAACAUAGCAAGAAAGAUCUUCUGACAGAAUUUGGUCGAACCGUCAAAUCUGAACGCCUUCAAAAUGGACCAAAAAUGACACUAAUCAAUUUUUUCUCGCUAAGAACAAUCAAUUAGCAUAAUUUUCGGUCAAAUCGAGUCUUGAAACUCAACCAAAAUCGAAGGAGGAAGGAAAAAUAGGGUCUUUUUUUCUUCUUUUUAGAUUCGAAAUUGGAGAAGUUUGGUGGAGGUUUUGGGAAAAUUGGUAAGGAAUUAGAGUUAAGGCGGAGUUGGAGAGAGUGUAGGGUGUGAGUUUGGGGUUGUUUGGACGGUGGCCUACGGUGGCAAGGGCUUAGAAAUCCUAGGGCGACUACGGUUUGGUGAGGGGAAGGAGAUACAUCGAAUGGGGAGAGUUCUGCGGUU